rnacentral:rRNA from 1 species
GACGAACGCUGGCGGCGUGCUUAACACAUGCAAGUCGAACGGAAAGGCCCUGCUUUUGUGGGGUGCUCGAGUGGCGAACGGGUGAGUAACACGUGAGUAACCUGCCCUUGACUUUGGGAUAACUUCAGGAAACUGGGGCUAAUACCGGAUAGGAGCUCCUGCUGCAUGGUGGGGGUUGGAAAGUUUCGGCGGUUGGGGAUGGACUCGCGGGUUAUCAGCUUGUUGGUGGGGUAGUGGCUUACCAAGGCUUUGACGGGUAGCCGGCCUGAGAGGGUGAACGGCCACAUUGGGACUGAGGUACGGCCCAGACUCCUACGGGAGGCAGCAGUGGGGAAUAUUGCACAAUGGGCGGAAGCCUGAUGCAGCAACGCCGCGUGCGGGAUGACGGCCUUCGGGUUGUAAACCGCUUUCGCCUGUGACGAAGCGUGAGUGACGGUAAUGGGUAAAGAAGCACCGGCUAACUACGUG